rfam:Citrus clementina cultivar Clemenules unplaced genomic scaffold scaffold_4, whole genome shotgun sequence.
GUAUUAAGAGCCUGUCAAGUUAGCCAAGAUAUGACUGCCUUUGAAUUACUUAGCUAAGCUACAUGCAUGCGUUUAAAACAAAUUCUUGUAGCUGCCAUAGUAGCAAGGCAAGUCAUUCUUAGCUACCAAACAAGGCACUUCAUC